ACUGUGGUUUAAUAAUAGUUUUUUGUUUGGAUUGAUGGUAUGGUAUUAAAUGUUAAUGGAUAAUUUUACUAAAAUACCCUUACUUGUUAUAAAUUUUCAAUGAGGGCAUUGAUGACGUCGUUUUCUCUGUCAGCUACAUUGAGUUCAUCGACCCACCUCCUUCUUCCACUUCCUACUAUCUCCAUCGUGGUCGGCCUUACAAAAUAGCUAUACCUAUAUCUAUUCUUACCCCGAAAAUGAAAAAAACCCUAAAAGGCGUCAAUGAGAUAGCAGCGUCUCUUAUUUUUUCUGAGGAUACUACUAUGUUAAAUGCUAGGGUGGUGCCAGAGAUGGGUGCUGCAGUGAAAAAGAGAGUUAAGUUGAAGAAAAGAGUAUAUAAGGUUAAGAAAAGUAAAAGGGUAUAAUGGGUUUUAAUAAAAUUAUAUAAGGUCAAAGUUGGAAAAAAAAAAAAGGGAGAACCACGCCACACCACCAAAUUGGUAGUUCCAGAAAUUGCCUCAUUUCAUGGUUAUCAAACAUAGAAUAGUAACAUACCUAUCACCAUUUUUAGAAAACCAUGAAAAUAAACAUGGUUCCAUGAUAACCAUCCAAACAGGCUGUCACGAGAUUCCUCCCAUUUUAACAUCUCCCAAUCCAUGAAUCCCUUCAAAAAUCAGAAAAUCUAUCCCAAAUCAAUGAUAUAAUGGAAAACAGAUUAAUCUGCCAUCAGUUCUCUGCAAAUUAUCAAGAUAUGGAGAAAAAGAGGAUUUAUUUUAGAAAUUUGAACUUGAAUUUUCAAAUCUCCUCUCAGAUCCACACAUUUUGAAUAAAUUUUUAUUCUAAAUCUGAACUUUCAAGUCUAGAUUUGUGCCUAUAAAUGGUUGUCUUUGAUUCUCCAGAAGGAGAGAGAAAAACAAAGUGAAAAAUAGAGGGCAAAAUGGGGAAAAGUUGAUUAACGCCUGACAAUUUCACAAGCAAAGGGCUGCAAGAAUUACUUCACUUGGUCCUUGGUUUCGUAAAUUCUGAGUUCCCGAGUUUUGAGUUUUGUGGCCAUAGGAUUCUCUACGGGAAGCCUCAGCUUUGCUGCACAAUAUAAGAUACGAGUAGUAGUUGCCGCCAUUGACGUGAUGCUCAUGCAGAGUUGAUUUCAGAGAUUGGAUGAGCUCUUAGAGUUGGAGUUACCAUUUUUCCUUCUACUUAUCUAUGUCUAGUCUUUCAUUUUUGAGACAGAUUGUAUGUGACUGUUCAGUACUUAUAGUUUAUUUAUAGAAGCUUUUAUAGCAACAUUACUGAG